CAAUACUUUGGUGGCGACCGGCGCACGGGUGAGUAACGCGUAUGCAACCUACCCUGUACAGGGGGAUAGCCCGGAGAAAUUCGGAUUAAUACCCCAUAAAGAUAUCGAGAGGCAUCUUUUGGUAUUUAAAGUUUCGACGGUACGGGAUGGGCAUGCGUAACAUUAGCUAGUUGGUAGGGUAACGGCCUACCAAGGCGACGAUGUUUAGGGGUCCUGAGAGGGUGAUCCCCCACACUGGUACUGAGACACGGACCAGACUCCUACGGGAGGCAGCAGUGAGGAAUAUUGGUCAAUGGGCGUAAGCCUGAACCAGCCAUCCCGCGUGAAGGAAGACGGCGCUAUGCGUUGUAAACUUCUUUUCCAGAGGAAUAAAAUUUUGUACGAGUACGGAACUGAAGGUACUCUGGGAAUAAGCAUCGGCUAACUCCGUGCCAGCAGCCGCGGUAAUACGGAGGAUGCGAGCGUUAUCCGGAUUUAUUGGGUUUAAAGGGUGCGUAGGCGGAUUAAUAAGUCAGUGGUGAAAACCUUCAGCUUAACUGGAGAACUGCCAUUGAUACUGUUAGUCUUGAGUACGGUCAAGGUAGGCGGAAUGUGUAAUGUAGCGGUGAAAUGCUUAGAUAUUACACAGAACACCGAUUGCGAAGGCAGCUUACUGGGCCAUUACUGACGCUGAUGCACGAAAGCGUGGGGAGCGAACAGGAUUAGAU
rnacentral:rRNA from 1 species